CUUCCAGUAGCACCUUAGAGACCAACUAAGUUUGUUAUUGGUAUGAGCUUUCAUGUGUAUGCACACUUCUUCAGAAUACAGUAACAAACCUAGUUGGUCUCUAAGGUAGUACUGGAAG